GCAUCUGUAGUUCAGCGGUUAGAGCACUGCCCUGUCAAGGCAGAAGUCGCGGGUUCGAAUCCCGUCAGGUGCGC
rnacentral:tRNA from 1 species